rnacentral:rRNA from 1 species
UACGUAGGGUGCAAGCGUUGUCCGGAAUUAUUGGGCGUAAAGAGCUCGUAGGCGGUUUGUUGCGUCGGCUGUGAAAUCCCGAGGCUCAACCUCGGGUCUGCAGUCGAUACGAGCAAACUAGAGUGUUGCAGGGGAGACUGGAAUUCCUGGUGUAGCGGUGAAAUGCGCAGAUAUCAGGAGGAACACCGGUGGCGAAGGCGGUGGGCUGGGCCGGAACUGACGCUGGAGGAGCGAAAAGCGUUGGGGGAGCGAACAGG